AGACGGACAAACGUAAAAAGCAUUAAUGACUGGUAACUUAAAGAAAGCAAGAAUAUGCAGGACACACUCCUCUAUGGCACUUUUUUCCUUUGGAUGAGUAAAAAAGAAAACCAGAGGAUGUCACCUUUAAAGACAACACAGUUAAAGCGUUAGCGGUCACCACCUGAACCUACGAGCUUCACAGUGUUGAUGAGAGAUGACAUGAGACGGCAGGAGCUGAUUGACAGACCAAAUCCAUCUCUGGAUAUCCUGUUAAGUCUUUUGCUGUGGACUCUAGUGUUUGUGGUGUGAAUGAUGCUGUGAAUGUGGUCCUAUAAAGCCUGCCCCUCAGUUUUACCAAACGAUGAACACUACGAUGUCCUCAGCAGUCCUCAGAGUGAUCCUGGGCCCAGACAGCUGCCAAAGGGUGGUGUUUCUUACUGGCCUUCAUACAACUGUGCCUGAACUGCAGAAUGAGAUAAAAAC